GACGAACGCUGGCGGCGUGCUUAACACAUGCAAGUCGAACGGAAAGGCCCUGCUUUUGUGGGGUGCUCGAGUGGCGAACGGGUGAGUAACACGUGAGUAACCUGCCCUUGACUUUGGGAUAACUUCAGGAAACUGGGGCUAAUACCGGAUAGGAGCUCCUGCUGCAUGGUGGGGGUUGGAAAGUUUCGGCGGUUGGGGAUGGACUCGCGGCUUAUCAGCUUGUUGGUGGGGUAGUGGCUUACCAAGGCUUUGACGGGUAGCCGGCCUGAGAGGGUGACCGGCCACAUUGGGACUGAGAUACGGCCCAGACUCCUACGGGAGGAAGCAGUGGGGAAUAUUGCACAAUGGGCGGAAGCCUGAUGCAGCAACGCCGCGUGCGGGAUGACGGCCUUCGGGUUGUAACCCGCUUUCGCAUGUGACGAAGCGUGAGUGACGGUAAUGGGUAAAGAAGCACCGGCUAACUACGUG
rnacentral:rRNA from 1 species